GUUUGUAUAGGAAAUGUUCACAUGUGAUCAUGAAUUCAAAAAGACUAAAAAAAUACACACUGGAUAAAAAAGUUUAUGAAUGUGUUAUUCCAUAGCCAAGUGUUUCGUACACUACUGCACAUAAAGAACAAUACUGGGAAAAUAUUUGCCAAUAAUCCUGGUAAAAAAUAUUUAUUAGACCAGAGAAUUUGAGAACACUAUUUGCAAUCAAAUAAUAAUACAUUUCUAAUUAGAUCAACCCUCACUUGCACUUGGCAAUUACUGACAGUGUUAAUAUCACAAAGUCAAACUUAAUGCACAUAUAGUUCAAUAUAGUAAGCAGGAAUAAUCCAAACUCAGUGACACAUUAUUUCACAAUUUUCUGUCAUUAGUAAAUAAACUUUGCCUUGCAAGACCUAGAAGAAAAUGGUAAAGGUUUGGAGAUUAAAAAUCUUGCAACACUGUAACUGAU